rnacentral:misc_RNA from 1 species
GAUGAAGAACGCAGCGAAAUGCGAUAAGUAAUGUGAAUUGCAGAAUUCAGUGAAUCAUCGAAUCUUUGAACGCACAUUGCGCCCGCCAGUAUUCUGGCGGGCAUGCCUGUUCGAGCGUCAUUUCAACCCUCAGGCCCCGCCUGGCGUUGGGGAUCGGCGCGGCCCUCUCCGGGCUGCCGGCCCCGAAAACUAGUGGCGGUCUCGCUGUAGUCCUCCUCUGCGCAGUAGCAACGCUCGCACUGGAACUCGGCGCGGCCACGCCGUAAAACACCCCCCUUCUGAAAGUUGACCUCGGAUCAGGUAGGAAUACCCGCUGAACUUAAGCAUAUCAAUAAGCGGAGGA